rnacentral:rRNA from 1 species
UACGGAGGGGGCUAGCGUUGUUCGGAAUUACUGGGCGUAAAGGGCGCGUAGGCGGCCUCUUAAGUCGAACGUGAAAUCCCCGGGCUCAACCCGGGAACUGCGUCCGAUACUGGGAGGCUUGAAUCCGGGAGAGGGAUGUGGAAUUCCAGGUGUAGCGGUGAAAUGCGUAGAUAUCUGGAGGAACACCGGUGGCGAAGGCGGCAUCCUGGACCGGUAUUGACGCUGAGGCGCGAAAGCUAGGGGAGCAAACGGG